rnacentral:sRNA from 1 species
UAGUUGGGCGUGACUACGAUCUUAGGCA